UCCUGGUGGUCUCCAUGAUGUCCCCAAGCCCCCCAGGGUGGUUUUGGUGGUCUCCAUGGUGUCCCCAAAGCCCACCAUGAUGUUCCUGGUGGUCUCCAUGAUGUCCCCAAGCCCCCCAAGAUGUUCCUGGUGGUCACCAAGCCCCCC
rnacentral:lncRNA from 1 species